rnacentral:rRNA from 1 species
UAAGCGGAGGAAAAGAAACUAACAAGGAUUCCCCUAGUAACUGCGAGUGAAGCGGGAAAAGCUCAAAUUUAAAAUCUGGCGGUCUUAGGCCGUCCGAGUUGUAAUUUAGAGAAGCGUCUUNCGCGCCGGACCGUGCACAAGUCUCCUGGAAUGGAGCGUCAUAGAGGGUGAGAAUCCCGUCUUUGGCACGGAUGCCUGGUGCUUCUGUGAUGCGCUCUCGAAGAGUCGAGUUGUUUGGGAAUGCAGCUCAAAAUGGGUGGUGAACUCCAUCUAAAGCUAAAUAUUGGCGAGAGACCGAUAGCGAACAAGUACCGUGAGGGAAAGAUGAAAAGCGCUUUGGAAAGAGAGUGAAACAGUACGUGAAAUUGUUGAAAGGGAAACGCUUGAAGUCAGUCGCGUCGACCGAGACUCAGCCUUGCCUCGGCUUGGUGUACUUCUCGGCCCGACGGGUCAGCGUCAAUUUUGCCCCUCGGAUAAUGGCAAGGGAAAGGUGGCACCUUUACGGGUGUGUUAUAGUCUCCUGUCGCAUGCGAGGGGUGGGAUUGAGGAACUCAGCGCGCACCUUGGUGUCGGGGCUUCGGCCCACGUCACGCGCUUAGGAUGCUGGCGUAAUGGCUUUAAACGACC